rnacentral:rRNA from 1 species
AAAUUGAAGAGUUUGAUCAUGGCUCAGAUUGAACGCUGGCGGCAGGCCUAACACAUGCAAGUCGAACGGUAACAGGAAGCAGCUUGCUGCUUUGCUGACGAGUGGCGGACGGGUGAGUAAUGUCUGGGAAACUGCCUGAUGGAGGGGGAUAACUACUGGAAACGGUGGCUAAUACCGCAUAAUGUCGCAAGACCAAAGAGGGGGACCUUCGGGCCUCUUGCCAUCAGAUGUGCCCAGAUGGGAUUAGCUUGUUGGUGAGGUAACGGCUCACCAAGGCGACGAUCCCUAGCUGGUCUGAGAGGAUGACCAGCCACACUGGAACUGAGACACGGUCCAGACUCCUACGGGAGGCAGCAGUGGGGAAUAUUGCACAAUGGGCGCAAGCCUGAUGCAGCCAUGCCGCGUGUAUGAAGAAGGCCUUCGGGUUGUAAAGUACUUUCAGCGGGGAGGAAGGUGUUGCGGUUAAUAACCGCAGCAAUUGACGUUACCCGCAGAAGAAGCACCGGCUAACUCCGUGCCAGCAGCCGCGGUAAUACGGAGGGUGCAAGCGUUAAUCGGAAUUACUGGGCGUAAAGCGCACGCAGGCGGUCUGUCAAGUCGGAUGUGAAAUCCCCGGGCUCAACCUGGGAACUGCAUUCGAAACUGGCAGGCUUGAGUCUUGUAGAGGGGGGUAGAAUUCCAGGUGUAGCGGUGAAAUGCGUAGAGAUCUGGAGGAAUACCGGUGGCGAAGGCGGCCCCCUGGACAAAGACUGACGCUCAGGUGCGAAAGCGUGGGGAGCAAACAGGAUUAGAUACCCUGGUAGUCCACGCCGUAAACGAUGUCUACUUGGAGGUUGUGCCCUUGAGGCGUGGCUUCCGGAGCUAACGCGUUAAGUAGACCGCCUGGGGAGUACGGCCGCAAGGUUAAAACUCAAAUGAAUUGACGGGGGCCCGCACAAGCGGUGGAGCAUGUGGUUUAAUUCGAUGCAACGCGAAGAACCUUACCUGGUCUUGACAUCCACAGAACUUUCCAGAGAUGGAUUGGUGCCUUCGGGAACUGUGAGACAGGUGCUGCAUGGCUGUCGUCAGCUCGUGUUGUGAAAUGUUGGGUUAAGUCCCGCAACGAGCGCAACCCUUAUCCUUUGUUGCCAGCGGUCCGGCCGGGAACUCAAAGGAGACUGCCAGUGAUAAACUGGAGGAAGGUGGGGAUGACGUCAAGUCAUCAUGGCCCUUACGACCAGGGCUACACACGUGCUACAAUGGCGCAUACAAAGAGAAGCGACCUCGCGAGAGCAAGCGGACCUCAUAAAGUGCGUCGUAGUCCGGAUUGGAGUCUGCAACUCGACUCCAUGAAGUCGGAAUCGCUAGUAAUCGUGGAUCAGAAUGCCACGGUGAAUACGUUCCCGGGCCUUGUACACACCGCCCGUCACACCAUGGGAGUGGGUUGCAAA